CUUUCAACUGGAACACGUCCAAUGUUUCCAUUGGCAAAGACCGCCUGUAUAAAGUUGAUCUUGGUUCAGACUUAUCAUCAAUUCAAAGUGAUUUUCAAUCCGCGACCAAGUCUACUAGAGCUAACUUUUCUGAUAUUAUCUAAACGUUGGUGGACUUCUCCUGUCAACACUUUUUCGUAAAUACCAAGCUGCAAGGAAAAAAUUGAGUAAAUAUCCAGCCAACUUCGUUGAUUAUAUAAGCACACUGAAGGAAUGGACGUCUGCAGUUAGAAAGGCGAAAAGGACGCAUAUUGCUAUUACGAUUAAAGAGUUGCCUGGUAAUAGAAACUCGCGUGUUUUCUGGAAUUACAUCAAUGGUCAUCGACAUUUCAGUCGAAAAUUAAAUGGUUGUGCUGUGUGGAAUGACUAUGAUAAUAAAAGAUACUUGGAUAUGCUCAUGAGCUAUAUUCCAAGUGUUAACCUGAUUACAUUACCUUCAAUUCCUUCUAAUGGUCUGAACAAUACACCCUUUUUAUUGUGUGGGCUAAUGUAUGUAUUACAUUCCAGAAAGAGGAUUGCUGCUUCAGGUUGUGAUGGAGUUAAGUAUGACAUGGUCAGAGCACUGUCUGGAGGAAGCUUAAAUAUCCUCUUGCAUGCAAUUAGUAACUACUGGUCUAUUAAGUUUAUACCACUAGGUUUGCCAUGUAUCAAGGUAGUUCCCAUUGCUAAGACAGGUCUUUAAUGAUUUAAGUAACUUCAGACCAAUUUCGCUAAUAUCCGUAUUCAUAAAGAUUAUCGACUUCAUGGUUAAGGAGAGACUAAUGGAUUUCUUGAAAACCGGAAACAUUAUUCCAACUCGUCCUUAAGUCUAUCAAGAACGCAAAUGUAAAAAUAUGCGCAUUAAUGAACUAUCUUUUUUCAUACCUAGUUUAAAAAAGCUAAUAAAAUGGUUGUUAUGAUUUCCUUGGACAUCAGCAAAGUCUGUGAUUGUGUCAACUGGUUGAAGCUUGAUGGAAUUCUUGUAAACUCAAUUCCUCUUCAAAUACAUCUGUGGAUGAUACAUUUUUUGCCCAAGUGUGUGUUAGUAAUGGGUACAGACAAAAUUGAAGUAUACGGUGGUAUUCCACAAGGCAGCUGCUAAAGCCUUUUCAAGGUGGCCAAACUCAUAUUUUUCAAUAUGCAGAUGAUUUCCUAAUUGUAUCUGCGCAAUCAUCUUUUUUCAGCGGCUGUGAAUAAUCUCUCGAUAAAAGCUGCUCUUUUUUUCGAUUCAUGCGCCGAUCUUAAUUUAUAAACAAACACUACUUAUAUUGUCGAAGAUCCUAAACGUGAAAUCAGGCUCUUUAUCAAAGGAACUAAAGUUGAUCAGGUGAAAUCUCUUCGGCUUGUUAGUAGAAUUUUAAGUGGCGGCCUAAUUCUUCGUGGACAUUAUGAGAAAGCAUUCAAAGACUGUUAAUCUGGGUGCAAUAUCAUCAAACUCACGACUAACAAUCAGUCAGGCUUGCCCCCCAAAAAAGCUUUGACUGUAUAGAAAUCUUUAGUCAGGUCCAAAAUUGAAUUUGCACAUUCUACAUGUUGCAAUUACCCAAAUUACAUUAAGAAACCUAUACAAACAUAUAAAAAUUGAGUGUUAAAACGUUGUACUGGACUUAUCCCCUCAACUCCUCAACAUAUUCCUAAAGCCAUUUCUGGUCAAUGGCCAGUUUCCGAAAGAGCUCUUCCUUGCACUGCCAAAGAACUAAUUGAGGUCAACAUAACGAAUCGUCCUCUUUUUCAGAAAGUUAUAUACCUGAGUGAUAAUAUUUCCUGCAGCUACACAUUAUGUUCUCAAAAACUAUGUCACAUUUUUGACAAGAUAACUUCAAUUCCUCUUUGAAAUUUUUUUACUAACAAAUGUAGGGUCUUCACGAACAUUCUUGAAUUGAUCUCUACCUCCAAUUUCGCAUGUACGAGGAUCUUAUGUUAAGAAAAGGUUCUUCUUUAUUACAACAACGGCUAUGAUUAGAUGCCACUGACGGUUCCCUCGGACAUAAUGUAUCUAGCUUCUUGGUGGUGAAGCAUCUGUCUAAAAUAGUAUAUAGAGUCAAAUUGGGAGAACUUUCCUCGACUUUUAUCGUGUUGCUUGCUGUCAGACAUCCAGACAUUAAGGUGGCUAUUACUGAUGGUAUCAAGAAAAUUGUUAUGUUUUCGGGUAGCAAGUCAGCUCUACCUACAAAUAAAAGAGAUGCAGAUAAUCAAUAUGUGCUUGAUAUACAUAGAAUUAUACAUGAAUCUCAUGCGGACGACUAUCACUUUAUUUGGAUACUACGGUUUGGUCACUACGGUUUUUUUUUAAAUGAAAAAGCCGUAUUUCAUGCAAAAAGGGCUCAAGUUGAUGGGACAAUUUUGUCCAUCAAAUACACUCCCAAUGAAGCAAUACGGCCAAUUCGGAACUUUCAAUAACCGAAGGAUCAAUUUAAAGAGUUUGCACAUGUUAAAUCGACCCGCCUUUUCUACAAAAUAAAUCCCAAAUUUCAAUAUAAACGAUUUUCAGAGGCUUCCUUUAAUUCGUGGAAAAUCAAUAUCCUUUCUAGACUCAUGAGUGGUCGCACUUAUGAUUAAAUACAUUUAAAAGUGACACCACGUGGGAUUUGUGAAGAUUGCAAUGUCGUCGUGUCUGCUGAGCAUCUAAUUUUUAGAUGUCGCAAGCUUGACGGUAUUAUAAGUUCUUUUAGCUUCUUCAAGUUAUAUGACGGUCUCCUCGAUCUCUUUGUAGCAAAAAAUAUACGCAAUCUCGGGCACUAACUUGCUUUAUUAGAAAAGCGAAUUUACCGUUAUUAUUAUUAUUAUUAUCUUUUGCGUUCAAUCGUUUUCUAUUGCUAUAGAAUACUGUUUUGUUGCCCUAUAAUACUGUUUUCAGCCAAAGUUUGCAACACUGUUUUUUUCUUUUGAACAACUCAACGACAAUUCAUGUACACACAUUUACUCUUAACAUAUUGGCUA